CUGUAGUUAUGUCGGGUGAUGGCUCCAUCCUGACAGAUGUCUCUGCUGAACUGUCAUGUUGGGGAUGUUACUUUGAGCACUUGUUUAAAGCAGAUCCUUCUGUUGGGAUGUUAGAAACCUCUAGUGCAAUGCCAUGCCAUGAUUGCAGAACAUGGAAAAGCUGAGUGAGGUGUCGGGGUGUAUUUGUAUGCAAUGACAAAGUGCUGAACUUGAAGAGACAUUCAUUUACCUCAGUAGCGACAUUAAUGUCACUGAGUCCUGAUCCUUUGAGAUCAGGAGACACCUGGGAAGAGUUUAUGGAGUCAUGAGGGCACUGUGCAGAGAUGUUUAGUGAUGCAGACAUCUUUGCAUGAGAAUAAAGGUCCAAGUGUUGAGGAUCCUGGUGCUUCCUGUCUUACUCUAUGGUUUUAAGACUUGGACACUAACCAAUGGCCUAACACAAUGA